GCUUCCCCUCCUCCGGCGCCGGUCCCGCGGCGGCAAUGGGGAUGGUGCGGGCGGCGUGGUUUCUGCUCCUGUCGGCGCUGCUCGCGGCGGCGGACGCAAGGAGGCAGAAGGGCGGCGAGACGGCCUGCGACAAGGGGUGGGAGUGCAGCGGCAGCAGGUUCUGCUGCAACGAGACCAUCACCGACUACUUCAAGGCCUACCAGUUUGAGGAGCUCUUCGCCAAGCGCAACAACUCCCUCGCCCACGCCGCCGGCUUCUGGGACUACCGGGCCUUCAUCACCGCCGCGGCCCUCUACGAGCCUCGCGGGUUCGGCACCACCGGCGGCAGGGAGAUGAGCAUGAAGGAGGUCGCCGCCUUCCUGGGCCACGUCGGCGCCAAGACCUCGUGUGGAUAUAGUCUAGCUGACGGUGGUUCAUUGGCUUGGGGUCUUUGCUACAACCAUGAAAUGAGCCCAAGCCAGAGCUACUGUGACGACAGCAAUGAAUUAUACCGUUGUGCUGAAGGAGUUGAGUACUAUGGUCGAGGCGCCCUUCCUGUUUACUGGAACUACAACUAUGGUAUUGUGGGUAAGGGUAUCAAGCAGGAUCUGUUGAAGCACCCAGAGUUAUUGGAACAGAAUGCCACGCUAGCGUUUGAAGCAGCGAUCUGGAGGUGGAUGACUCCAAUGAAGAGGAAGCAGCCAUCAGCCCAUGAUGUCUUUGUUGGCAACUGGAAACCAACCAAGAAAGACACUUUGUCCAAGAGGUAUCCUGGCUUCGGUGCGACAAUGAACAUUUUGUAUGGUGAUGCCAUCUGUGGGAUAACAAGUGUUGGAGUUCAGAGGCAUAUUCUUACAGCACUACAGAAUAUAGAUGGAUGGAUAUUUACCACUGAAGCGGCUUAUCCAAGUGCCUGCUUGGGGACCGUCAGCUGGGAACCACACAUGGACCUGGAUAGCCAGGGCACCAGCAACCAUUACUGGCAUUCAAACAAGGCGAGCAGGAAGGGGAUGGAGCUCACCAACACCCCCCAUCUUGCCUCCUCCAGCUUCUUCUUCUCCAGCUGCAGUCCUUGCGCCUGCAGGAGUAGAAGAACUGGGAAGGCUGUGAUAACAGCGUUUGCUGCUGGUAGUAGGUGCAGUGCUGAUUCUAUUUAUGCAUGCCCAGAGCCCAUUGAACAGCAUAAUGUAGACAGCCUUUCAGUGGCCUCAGGUCCUGCAAAUACCCAAUGUUAUAGAAGGAGAGAUUUUGCUGCUGUUGCUCUGCUCCCUUUUCUACUUCCUCAUGUUGAUAUGGCGAGUGCGGCUGACUCAUAUGAUGGAUCAAUUAUUCAAAACGGUGUGAGGAAUGUCUUAUCCAAGGUGAAAGCAGCUGGCGUGCUUCGUUUGGUUUUCCAUGAUGCAGGGACUUUUGAUAUUAGUGACAAAUCAGGUGGCAUGAAUGGCUCCAUAAUCUAUGAAGCUGACAGACCUGAAAAUGCAGGACUUAGUAAAUCCUUAAAGAUACUACGAAAAGCAAAAGAAGGAAUCAACCAGGUUCAGCAAGUGUCAUGGGCGGACUUGAUUGCAGUGGCUGGUGCUGAAGCAGUUGCACUCUGUGGAGGGCCUGAAAUUCCCAUACGAUUAGGCCGUUUAGAUUCCAGCACUGCUGAUCCUACUGGUAAACUUCCUGAAGAAACAUUGGAUGUGGUGGCCUUGAAAACAUCAUUUGGCAAAAAGGGCUUUUCGACACAGGAGAUGGUCGUUUUGUCUGGAGCUCACACAAUUGGGGGUAAAGGAUUUGGAAAUCCAAAUGCUUUUGAUAACGCCUAUUUCAAAGUACUCCUUGAGAAGCCACGGCCAACUUCAUCUGGCAUGCCGAUAGGGCUGCCCACAGAUUGGGCACUCACUGAAGAUGAUGAAUGCUUAAGGUGGAUCAAUAUCUAUGCAAAGGACCAGGAUAAAUUUUUCGCCGACUUCAGAGAUGCAUAUACCAAGCUUGUAAACAGCGGAGCCUCGUGGAGAACAGCUUAGUUAGGAUUACCGAGUUUUUUCUGUCGAAACAGACUCUACACAACUGUAGAAUUACCAGGUCUGUGCAAGAUUCGUGGAAAUUUUGCUCGCUCUGUAGUGCUGCACUGCUGCCCUAUCCCCCGUGCAUUGUUACCGAAACGUCAAGAUACUUGUAGCUAUGAAAUAGUGUUACUGCACCCAACAAAAAUUGUGUUAAAUUUAGCAAUUAAA